rnacentral:rRNA from 1 species
AACGAACGCUGGCGGCAGGCCUAACACAUGCAAGUCGAACGCCCUAGCAAUAGGGAGUGGCAGACGGGUGAGUAACACGUGGGAACCUUCCCUAUAGUACGGAAUAGCCCAGGGAAACUUGGAGUAAUACCGUAUACGCCCGAGAGGGGAAAGAUUUAUCGCUAUAGGAUGGGCCCGCGUAGGAUUAGCUAGUUGGUGAGGUAAUGGCUCACCAAGGCGACGAUCCUUAGCUGGUCUGAGAGGACGACCAGCCACACUGGGACUGAGACACGGCCCAGACUCCUACGGGAGGCAGCAGUGGGGAAUAUUGGACAAUGGGCGCAAGCCUGAUCCAGCCAUGCCGCGUGAGUGAUGAAGGCCUUAGGGUUGUAAAGCUCUUUUGUCGGGGACGAUAAUGACGGUACCCAAAGAAUAAGUCCCGGCUAACUUCGUGCCAGCCGCCGCCGUAA